AGCGAACGCUGGCGGCAGGCCUAACACAUGCAAGUCGAACGAAGUCUUCGGACUUAGUGGCGGACGGGUGAGUAACACGUGGGAACGUGCCUUUAGGUUCGGAAUAACUCAGGGAAACUUGUGCUAAUACCGAAUGUGCCCUUCGGGGGAAAGAUUUAUCGCCUUUAGAGCGGCCCGCGUCUGAUUAGCUAGUUGGUGAGGUAAAGGCUCACCAAGGCGACGAUCAGUAGCUGGUCUGAGAGGAUGAUCAGCCACAUUGGGACUGAGACACGGCCCAAACUCCUACGGGAGGCAGCAGUGGGGAAUCUUGCGCAAUGGGCGAAAGCCUGACGCAGCCAUGCCGCGUGAAUGAUGAAGGUCUUAGGAUUGUAAAAUUCUUUCACCGGGGGCGAUAAUGACGGUACCCGGAGAAGAAGCCCCGGCUAACUUCGUGCCAGCCGCCGCCGUAA
rnacentral:rRNA from 1 species